GCCAUCAACUCCUCAUGCUGACGCUCUUGGCGAUCAAGCCUCUGUAGGAUAUGCUCGUGCGUAGCCUGCUGCUGAUCCAUGCGCUCCUCAAUACGAGUCCCAAGUGAGGUAAUCUGCGCAGACAACUCCAUCCAAUGCUCAUGCGCAGCGGCGUCAGGAGCCUGGCCAGGUGAUGUAUGGGUGUAAUGAGGCUCAGUAAAUGAUGGCUGACCAGAUGGUCCCGCUGUGUAAC
rnacentral:lncRNA from 1 species